GCCGAACCGUACGAACGUUAUUCGGAAUUACUGGGCUUAAAGGGUGCGUAGGCUGCGCGGAAAGUUGGGUGUGAAAUCCCUCGGCUCAACCGAGGAACUGCGCCCAAAACUACCGUGCUCGAGGGAGACAGAGGUGAGCGGAACUUAGGGUGGAGCGGUGAAAUGCGUUGAUAUCCUAAGGAACACCCGUGGCGAAAGCGGCUCACUGGGUCUCUUCUGACGCUGAGGCACGAAAGCUAGGGUAGCGAACGGG
rnacentral:rRNA from 1 species